UUCCAGGGCAGGGGUGGCCACUGCUGGGGUUGAUAGAAGAAGGACUGAUUCCCAGGGGCAGACGUGUUCCCACUGGUGAGAAGGCUGCAUGGGUGUCUGCAGGGCAGGGCAGGGCAGCCCAGGGGGAGAAGAGCCAGGCAAAGGUGUAGGGGUGUUUGGGGCAGCAAGGAGGACGAUGAGGCUGGGAGCUGGGGACCCUGGGUAGUGGUGGAAGCUGGCAGGAGGGCUUGUCGGGGGCCUGGCUGCUCCCGAGUGGAUGUGGCCUUCCAUAGACUCUGUGGUCAUGGCGGGCAUGGUGGCUGCUGCUCCCAGGGUACUCAGAAUGGGGCCACCUGGAGUGAUGAGGAGAACAAGGGACCCUGGGUAUCCCUGCUGCAGGGGUGCUGGAAGGUCAGCCAGCCACCAAUCCAGCUAAGAUAGUCCCCGCAGAGGAUGGCUGGCCAGCCCCAGCUUGCACACCUCCCAGCACGAGGCAGUUGCUUCUUCACAGCGGCUCAGGAUGGGGAUAGCUGCUCUCCACAGGGCAAGUUGAGUUUGUCUUCCUGUGACCCUGCCCCUUCCCAGGCCAGGACUCUGUCCUUGGGGACAGAGAUGUAAAACAGCCCUACAGGGACUGGGGACCAUGAUGAAUUCUCCAGCUGCUCCUUGAAGCCUAUCUCCAGCCUGGUUCCUCCUCCGGUGACUCCCUGCCUGUCUCUGCUCUUUCUGCUGGGAGAUGCAGACGGGGAAGAAGCCGCAUUCUGCAGGACCAGGGGGUGGGGUGCCCCCAGAUUACCUGUGACUUUGGGCAUGUCAUAGCCCUGCUCACAGCCUCAGUUUCCUGCUCUGGGAGGUGGGUAUGAAUCACAGAGCUUCCCUCGCAGGGUGAGCGUGAGGCCCUUGCAAAUGGCGCCAGGCCUGGCCCCAUGGGAUUGCUGGGCGCGCUCCCCUGCUUUCCUGGGGAGCUGGGUUUUGAGUGUGGGCUGCCAGGCGGGCGGGCAGGCGGGCAGGCCUGGCCCGUUACAGGGAUUAAUGGGUGGCUGGCUUUGGAAUGAUCACCCCCCAUACAUGGGAGGUAGGGUGGUGGGCAGCCAGGGAGCCAGGAGUGAUUCCACACCUGCACAUAAUUACCAAAGGAUCUGCCUCCUGGGAAUUAUUUUUAUCUUAAUAUUUUAUGUGGUUCCAAAAAUUGGGAGAGGGUUGAGCAGGGCCUGGGACACAAGC
rnacentral:lncRNA from 10 species